CGUUAAAAUUUUCAUUAAAUUCUAUUGUUAAAAAAAUGACGUGAUUGAUGAAAUAACCAUAGCUACACGUGACACGUCAUGUGUACCUCAUGUUGACAUAUAAGAAUAAAUUUUUAGCAAUAGAAAUGGAUAGAAUUAUUAACA
rfam:Gossypium raimondii Chr10_contig_28, whole genome shotgun sequence.